UACGUAGGGGGCGAGCGUUGUCCGGAUUUAUUGGGCGUAAAGAGCGUGUAGGCGGUUCGGUAAGUCUGUCGUGAAAUCCUGAGGCUCAACCUUGGACGUGCGAUGGAUACUGCCGGGCUAGAGGAUGGUAGAGGCGAGUGGAAUUCCCGGUGUAGCGGUGAAAUGCGUAGAGAUCGGGAGGAACAUCAGUGGCGAAGGCGGCCAUCUGGGACAACACUGACGCUGAAGCACGAAAGCGUGGGGAGCAAACAGG
rnacentral:rRNA from 1 species